rnacentral:tRNA from 1 species
GGGCCGCACGCCACCGGUGUGCGGGGCUGCCUGGCGUGCAGCCCGUGAACAGUUCGACUCUGUUGCGGUCCACCA